rnacentral:rRNA from 1 species
UGGGGAAUAUUGCACAAUGGGCGAAAGCCUGAUGCAGCAACGCCGCGUGAGUGAUGAAGGCCUUCGGGUUGUAAAGCUCUGUCUUUUGGGACGAUAAUGACGGUACCAAAGGAGGAAGCCACGGCUAACUACGUGCCAGCAGCCGCGGUAAUACGUAGGUGGCAAGCGUUGUCCGGAUUUACUGGGCGUAAAGGAUGCGUAGGCGGAUUUUUAAGUGAGAUGUGAAAACCCUAAGCUUAACUUGGGGACUGCAUUUCAUACUGGAAAUCUAGAGUGCGGGAGAGGAGAAUGGAAUUCCUAGUGUAGCGGUGAAAUGCGUAGAGAUUAGGAAGAACACCAGUGGCGAAGGCGAUUCUCUGGACCGUAACUGACGCUGAGGCAUGAAAGCGUGGGUAGCAAACAGGAUUAGAUACCCUGGUAGUCCACGCCGUAAACGAUGAGUACUAGGUGUAGGAGGUAUCGACCCCUUCUGUGCCGCAGUUAACACAAUAAGUACUCCGCCUGGGAAGUACGAUCGCAAGAUUAAAAACUUAAAGGAAUUGACGGGGUCAUAAGC